GUCCCGCAACGAGCGCCAACCUUAUCCUUAGUUACCAGCACGUAAGGUGGGGACUCUAGGGAGACCGCCGGGGACGACUCGGAGGAAGGUGGGGACGACGUCAAAUCAUCAUGCCCCUUAUGUCUUGGGCUACACACGUGCUGCAAUGGUCGGUACAAAGGGUUGCCAAGCCGCGAGGUGGAGCUAAUCCCAUAAAACCGAUCGUAGUCCGGAUCGCAGUCUGCAACUCGACUGCGUGAAGUCGGAAUCGCUAGUAAUCGUGAAUCAGAAUGUCACGGUGAAUACGUUCCCGGGCCUU
rnacentral:rRNA from 1 species